rnacentral:rRNA from 1 species
AGAGUUUGAUCCUGGCUCAGAACGAACGCUGGCGGCAGGCCUCAAACAUGCAAGUCUAGGGGGUGUAGCAAUACAUCACCGGCGGACGGGUGCGUAACGCGUGGGAAUGUACCUAUUGGUUCGGAACAACUGAGGGAAACUUCAGCUAAUACCGGAUGAGCCCGAAAGGGGAAAGAUUUCUCGCCAAUGGAUCAGCCCGCGUCCGAUUAGCUAGUUGGUGGGGUUAUGGCCUACCAAGGCAACGAUCGGUAGCUGUUCUGAGAGGAAGAUCAGCCACACUGGGACUGAGACACGGCCCAGACUCCUACGGGAGGCAGCAGUUGGGAAUCUUGGACAAUGGGGGAAACCCUGAUCCAGCCAUGCCGCGUGAGUGAUGAAGGCCUUCGGGUUGUAAAACUCUUUCGACGGGGACGAUAAUGACGGUACCCGUAGAAGAAGCUCCGGCUAACUUCGUGCCAGCAGCCGCGGUAAUACGAAGGGGGCUAGCGUUGUUCGGAAUUACUGGGCGUAAAGCGCGCGCAGGCGGUCUUCCAAGUCAGUGGUGAAAGCCCGGAGCUCAACUCCGGAACUGCCAUUGAAACUGUGAGACUUGAGUACGAGAGAGGUGAGUGGAAUUCCCAGUGUAGAGGUGAAAUUCGUAGAUAUUGGGAAGAACACCGGUGGCGAAGGCGGCUCACUGGCUCGUAACUGACGCUCAGGCGCGACAGCGUGGGGAUCAAACAGGAUUAGAUACCCUAGUAGUCC